rnacentral:lncRNA from 1 species
UAGUGUUUAGAGGAUUUCCGUUGUGGCUUUUUGCAGCAUUUAGAGAAUUCAGUUGUGGCUAUUGCAGCUACUUUGUUAUAAAUACAGAAGGAAGGUGGUGGCGACAGUGUAAUUGUGAUGAGGGUGGAAGAGGAGAUGUCAAGGCGCUUUUGCCUAUAGCUUUUGUAUCCAAAAAUGUCUCCCCUUGGCAUGAAUGGUUUAUACUUUGGUGGCGCGGCUGGUAUAUUUCUUCAUUCUUCUUUUCCCCCCUUUACAGGCAUGCGACUUUUUUGCUCGUAGAUUUUGGUCGAGAUUUUCAUAUGUAUCAUUCACCUGAUUAUUUGUUGAGCGUCCGUUCCUUGUACUUGCUUGUAAAAGUGGCUCCAUUGGCCAUGAAGUACCCUUUGCCUGUAUGUAUGAUUCUUGCAACAUGAAUAGCAUGAUGAUGAUAGAUUGAUAGGUGAUCCAUCCACCCCUUUUCAGUUCUCUCUGUCAAACUUGAAAUCAUCCGCUGUCCCCGGUAUGUUUUGUAUGGAUGCUGUCUUAUUGGUCAAUGAGCUCUUCAUGCUGUGUCUGAUUUUUCUUUUCUUUUCAAGAAUGUGUUGUGUCUGAUAUUACUGCGGCGGCGGAUUCGCUGGUGCAUGAUGAUCAUCUGGGCUUUGCAAGUGGUAUCCAGAGCACUAGCCAGUGUUUGGUUUCUUUCCGACUCACUGUUGUUGUGUUUCUGCUUUUGGCAUUGAUGUUGUCUACUUGCACUAAGCGUCCGAGUAGUCGUUGUUGUGUUACAGUGGCGCGAUAAGCUCGAUCCCGCUGACUAGAACGGCCUGCUCGCUUGCUAAUGCUCUGUUGCUUUCUGGUCGCUGUUCUAAGUUGCUUCUUUUCUGUUGUGUUGCACUUGGAAAGCUUGUCGACAGUGUUGGUUGUUGUGGAGAUGGUACUGGUAGGUUCUGGCCUUUUGCGCUUGGGCGGCGUCUGAAUGAGGUGCUGGUAAGUACUGUUGCUUGUUGGCUUGAAGAAGAUGGGUUUCAGUUAUCCACUUAUCAAGCAGCAGAUAGGUGUAGGACUUCUUGUUUUUCUGCACAUAACAAAUGUAAGUAUUUGGCACUUGACUUGGGUGGCUCUCCUCUCUGAAGGACAAGUUGCAAAUGUUUUUGCAUGUUUAUGCAUGAAUGGAAGGGUCCCAAAUAGUUGUACAUCAUGGACUGACCGGUGGAUGAGACCCACGCAAGAACUCGAGAAUACUUGCACCGAAGUCGUAUCAGCCAUGGCCCGUGAAUGGAAGUAUAAAAAUCCUCUCUGACUCGGCUUAAAAAUGACACACACACAUACACACACACACACACACACACACACACACCUGUUGGGCUCGUAAAGCAAUCUGCAUCUUUGUGCCUAACAUGCUUGUGUGCGGUCAAUGCCGAUGGGGUCAGGGAUCAAAUACUUGCACGCCCCUUUCACACCGGCACUUAUUCCACCCCACGACUUGCGCCUCCCGUCUGCCGUUGGUGUCUGUCAACAUUUAACAUUCAACAGCAACAACCCCCGGCCGUGCUGGUUGGUGCAAAGCCAACACACGCCCGCGGCCCGCCGGAGCGCCGGCCGGCGCUGCCCGGGUCGAGUGGAAAUCCAGCGCGGUUGACACCAGACGUCCGGAUGAUUUGGAGAUCCGCCAACAACGAUGGUGGCUCGCGGGGGACACUGGCGGCCAGAAGGCAGUGGCUGUAGCGUGACACGAUACCCUGCUUGGAGCUACAGCCAGAUCCACUUAUCCAGGCGCGGCAAGGCUAACUCCACCGCGCCCCAUCCUAUCCCCGCGCGUCCGUUUGCGAUAAAACGGACGAAUAGCGCGGCCCAACGCGUGGCCUCAAACGGACAAAUGUUCGGAUUUCGUCCGUUUUUGACUCAUCUCUGACCUAAACUUGCGCUCGGUUUGGAGUGAAACAGACAUGCGCGGACGGCCUGGACGCACGCCCUUGUCCCCCUCGUGGCCCGCCUGUCGGGGACACUAGCAGUCCCUCCGCUCCCAACGCUUUCACCCACUCUCUCCCGCCCCAUCCCGCCACCAGCGCCGUCGCUAUUCUCCGGUCGCCUCCUCACCGUGCAGCCCCCGGACGUCCCUACCAAACCACGUCUCGACAUGGCCGCCACCACGCCCGCGCUUUGGCUGUAGUUUCAGCCGCCGAUCGGAGAUUUGGCCGUCGCCGUCUUUGCGGUCGCAGAGGGGAGACGACCGCCGGCGACGUACCACGACGGCCUCGGAAGCUUCCGACGAAAGCUCCAGAGCGGCCAGUAGCCGGCCGGCAACCACCCCUGCUGCGUCGAGGUGAUCAUCGCGGCCUCUUCGCCACCACGACCGCAAGGUGUUCGGCAUUUUACCCACAAAGGUAUGGACAGUGGAGACGAGUUUUUCUUUCAUCACUUCCUUUGUCCAUCGGAUGAUUCGUCGUCGGAUGAUGAAGAUCUUGUGGUGGCUGCACUGGUCGUUCACGGCCACAUUCAACGGCAGCUUCCUCGGUACAGGGGGUUAGUCCCUGGCCGUGCUCCCAACCUGAACCGCAACAGGGAGAGAGGCCACACCCUGCUCUAUGCCGAUUACUUUGCCAACACCCCGCUCUUCAAGCCGGAUAAAUUCCAUCGCCGUUUUCGAAUGGCAAGGCAUGUGUUCAAUCGUAUCCGAGAGGGAGUGGUUGCUCAUGACCCAUACUUCGAGUGCAAGACGGAUGCCCUUGGCAAGCUUGAAUUCUCCUCUUACCAGAAAUGCACCGCGACCUUCCGCAUGCUUGCAUAUGGAAUUCCAGGCGAUCUGGUGGAUGAGUAUGUGCGUAUGAGUGAGACAACAUGUCUGAUGUCAAUGUAGAAGUUUUGCCAGGCUGUGAUCGAGGUGUUUGGCCCAGAGUACUUGAGGCAGCCAACUGCCGCUGAUACAGAGAGAUUGUUGGCGACCAAUGCAGCUAGAGGUUUUCCAGGCAUACUUGGCAGCAUAGAUUGUAUGCAUUGGGAGUGGUAGAACUGUCCAUUUGCUUGGAAGGGCCAGUACAAGGGGCAUGUCAACGGGUGCACUGUCAUAUUAGAAGCGGUGGCAUCGCAGGAUCUUUGGAUAUGGCAUUCUUUCUUCGGCAUGGCAGGUUCUCACAAUGAAAUCAAUGUGCUGCAGUGUUCUCCAGUCUUCGCGAGGGCUUGCAGAAGGCCACUCCCCACAUGUCAACUUUGAGAUCAACGGCCACCAGUACAAUAAGGGAUACUAUCUAGCAGAUGGUAUAUAUCCUCAGUGGUUAACUUUUGUGAAAACAAUCUUGAAACCCCAAGGUGAGAAGAGAAAGAGAUUUGCCCAAAUGCAAGAAAGUGUUAGAAAGGAUGUGGAACGUGCUUUUGGCGUGCUUCAAUUCCGGUGGGGUAUCGUUCGAAACCCUGCACUGUCAUGGGAUGAAAGGAAGUUUUGGGAGAUGAUGACUGCUUGUGUGAUCAUGCAUAACAUGAUCGUCGAGGAAGAGCGUGAUGAGAGUAUCUUCGACCAAGGAUUUGAUUAUCAAGAUGAAAAUAUUGAGCCCCUGCACCAAGACCCAGCCACAUUUGAACAGUUUGCCCAAUUCCACCGUGAGAUGCGUGAUUGGCACACUCAUUUGAAUCUUCAAAAUGACUUGGUUGAGUAUGUGUGGGAUCACAUUGACAACCAAUAGAUGUAUUGGUCCAUUUUAUGUUCAGUCAAGACAAUUUCAAUUUGGUUGUAAAACUAUUAUAAUUUUCAGACAAAUAUUUGGGUUAUAAAACUAGUUUUGAUGAAAAUAUGGGCAUUUUUGACCCUAACGGACAGGAUGGGGCAAAGGGAUAGGGCCGCGCGCUGGGCGCACGGCCACCACAUCUCAGGACACGCCCAGACACGACCUCAUCGCCUUACCCAAACGGACAAAAUCCGAACAAAACAGAUGUCUGUUUAGGGUCGUGCAGUGGAGUUGGCCUAACUGCUGUGCGAGAUCUGAUCACUGCUGCUCACUGUGGCCGGAUAAUCAGAGGCACCGGAUCGUGGAGUAGGAACGCACCUGAUCGCUGCUCAGUGCACACUGUGGCACCGCAUCACGACAGAAAGCGUACGAGGUCCAUGUAGCUUGCUUGCUUGUCCAGUCAAUCCUGUCGGAUCUUGCAACUCUGGUUUAGGAACGAACAUGACCUGGACCCAAGGGCAGAUAUUGUAACAACGUUAAAAGCAUGCGAGGAACCUAGGACCGAUGCGCGUUUUCCUCGUACAGUUUAAAGCUCUGUUUGGUUUGUCGUUUCCAUUUCAAAUACCCCGGUAAAACUUACAGACCUCCGUCGGUUGUUUUGCUUUCCGGACGGAAAUAGCUCUUGGUCCUGUAAAUAAAUUACACCCGUAUUCAAUUACAUCCAUACCAAGCGCGGCCUACGCUAUCUUACGGGAUCGAAUACUGUGGCUGUAGGUCUGCUUGAAGUUCUCGCAACAACAAAAAAAAUGUGUCCAAGGCUCAUCUACAUGUGACAUAAUUAUGUUGCAUCUAAGUAUGACAUGCUCAUCUACAUGUGAAAUAGUUAUGUUGCAUCUAAGUAUGACAUCAGCGCCACCCCAUUCCAUAACAAGCCUAUCUCCUCAUGCAUUUGUUUGUUUGUUUUAUUUUUAUUUUUUGAAAUAAGUCAAUUGUCUUUGUUUACAUCUAUAUCAAGCCCGUGUCUGCUUCAAAAAAUAAAAACAAAAAAAACUUUGCUCGCUGUUCCGUUUGGUUGCCCUUUGACGUCAUUUAUCAAGCCUCGGUCACCAACGACAUUUGGGCUGGGCUUUAGUUUGUCGGCUUCUGUUUGAAGGUUGUUGCUUCGGGAGCUCCUAUUCAGCUCUAUAGGCCACACACUGCUCGCUUUAGUUCGUCUGGUUUUUCCUCGCUCGUCUUUUACUGUUACUUGUCUGUUUUCUCGGUAAUAAAAAAUCUCCUGUUUCGGUUUUCUGGUGAACUAAAAAAUUGUUUGAAAAUUUUAAAAAGUUCAAGAAUUAGAAAUAAAUUACAAUUUUUUAAAAAUAUUUACGAAUUAAAACAAUUAGUGAAUACAAAAAAACUUUGUGAAAUUAAAAAAUGUCCACAAUUUUAAAGAUCAUGAAUAUUUUUAUUAAAGUAAAAUAUAAACAUGAAUAUGAAAAAAAUGAUUUAAAAGUUUUUCAUAAGUUUAAGAAAAUGCUCAUGAAUAUUUUUAUGUGAAAAAAUCAUUAAUAUUUUUUAAAAUGCGGAGACGCAUCUGGUCGUCAAACCUCCUCCCACCCCUAAUUUUUAUAAAAGUAAAAUAUAAACAUGAAUAUGAAAAAAAAAGAUUUUCAUAAUUUUCAAAAAAUUCUCACGAAUAUUUUUAUGUGAAAAAAAUCAUUAUUAGUUUUUUAAAUGUGGAGACGCUUAUGAAAAAAAAGAUUUUCAUAAUUUUCAAAAAAUUCUCAUGAAUAUUUUUAUGUGAAGAAAAUCAUUAUUAUUUUUUUAAAUGUGGAGACGCGACUGGUCGACAACCCUCCUCCCACCUCUAAUUUUUAUAAAAGUAAAAUAUAAACAUGAAUAUGAAAAAAAAUCAUAAUUUUCAAAAAAUGCUCAUGAAUAUUUUUAUGUGAAAAAAAUCAUAAAUUUUUUUAAAAUGUGGAGACGCGACUGGUCGACAAACCUCCUCCCACCCCUAAUUUUUAUAAAAGUAAAAUAUAAGCAUGAAUAUGACAAAAUGAUUUUAAAGUUUUUCAUAAUUUUAAGAAAAUUCUCAUGAAUUUUUUUAUGUGAAAAAAAUCAUUAACAGUUUUUAAAAUGUGGAGACACGACUGGUUGACAACCCUCCUCCCACCCCUAAUUGUGGGCAUGAAGUUGCGUGCUGAGGGUGGAAUUGCAAUUGAGACAAAAAUGGGUCGGGACUAGUUGCGUGUCGAGGGUGGAGUUGCAACUGGGACAAAAAUGGCCGCCCCCCUCCCGGUUGCGCGUUGAGGGUGAACUUGUAAAUGGGACAAAAAUGGAUCGUUGACAUGUCCAUUUUGUAUCACUAUUUUAAAAAAUAAUUUACUCUUUAUUAAUGAUAUUUUGCACAUUAUUGCUCAAUUCUAAUGUCUUUUCCCCUUCAAUUUACAUGUAACACAUGGAAAAAUGCUGGACAACUAGAAAAUAGGGGAAAAACAAAGGAGCGAAGAAAAGGUUCUUCCGAAGCUCCAGAAGAUUUGAAAAUUGUACUAAUUUUUUCCUUGAAGAAUUGGAUCCAUGGGCUAGAGGGUGCCCACAGGUCCACCACACAGCAGGGCCAUGCCCCCCCCCCCCGGAGCAUGAGGGUGCGCGUGGGGCUCUUGGCUGCCUCCUCUCGAUACCCUUUGGCUAUAAAUUCAUGCUUGACCUAAAAGCAUCGUGGAUUUUUUCUGGGAUCUCUCCACCAUUGUCUACGAGAUGGAAUUGAGGCAGGGCACAAUAUGAAUUCAUUCUAUAUUUUGCUGAAACUUAUAUUUUGAAGAACUUAGUGUCAAAUAUGGACUUGAUUAUGAAAUAUUUGUCCCCCUGUCUCUGCGUGAAUCUUUUGCUAUUAUAUUGAUAUUCGUGAACAAUAGUGGAAAAAAUAUCACGAUCAUUUAGAUGAAACCGUUGAUCAUGUGUUACCUUCUGUUUACAUUGAGAAACCUAUGUUUCCUGUUAGAUUGAAACAAAACUCUAUAGUAACUAAGAUAUCUCAUAAACUGAUGAACCUUGUGCUUAAACUGAAAUACAACCUCAAAUAGCUAUGACUAAAGAUUUGUUUAUUGAUAAUAUUAAUGGGAAAAUCACUCAAAAAUUGAGAGGAAGCAACUUAAACUGUUAAACAUAGAAGUAUUCUCAAUAUUGUUCGUGUGCCUGUUAUUUCUGUUAAGAUCAAUAUUCAUUAUUAUCAUUGGUUGUGUGAUAUUAGAGUUAGUGUACAUUAUUCCAUCUACUUUUUAUCAAGAAGUUGUUGGAGAUAUUUCACCUUGCACUAUAGAAGAAAUUGAUUUAUUAUUAAACUGGCAAAUAGGUCUAGUAUUUCACCUGUAGGCAUUGUUAGAGAUUUUGAAGUUCUAUGUGGCAACACUACGUAUCCUAUUGAUUUCUUAAUACUCCAAGAUAAUUUUUGUCCCAUUAUUUGGUAGACCUUUCUUAAAUACUUGCAAUGUUGUUGUUGAUUGCCAAAAAAUAAAAGCUUUAUGUUAUGCUUGGACAAGAUGAAGUUUCAUUUAUUUUAUCUAAGUUUAUUACCAAAUAACAUGAUGCUAAGGAUUUACCUUGUUUAGAUGAAAUAGAAAGGAUUGCUUCAAUUGUUAUUCCCCCACUCAUCCUUCGAAACAAUAUUUGUUGGAGCACGAAAGUUUUUAAAUAUGCAUGAGCGGAAGGAAACAAAUGAUUUGGGCAAGUACUUUUGCUAAGACAUAAUCUGCCUGUGGAAACUUUAGGAGAUCCCGAGCCUCCUAAAGGCGAUCUAGUGUUUGAACUUAAACCUUUGCCUGAUACAAUGAAACAUGCUUAUUUGGAUGAAAAUAAAUUAUAUCUGAUUAUUAUCAGUGGUAACCUUUUAGUGCCGAAGGAGGAGGAUUACUCGUUGUUCCAAAGAAACAUUGAGGAGGAAUUAUUUACAGAAUGAAAUUGUCUUAAAGGCAUUAGUCCCAUUUUCUGUAUGCACCAGAUUCAUAUGGAACCUGAUGUUAAGCCUGUUAUAGAUCAUCAACAUUGCUUAAAUCCUAAGAUGAAGGAAGUGGUAAGAAAAGAAAUUCUCAAUAUCCUGUAAGCAGUAUAAUUUAUCCUAUAUCCAUUAGUAGAUAGGUAAGUCUUGUUCAUUGUGUUCCUAAGAACAGAGGAAUUGUUGUUGUUCCUAAUGAUAAAAUGAACUUAAACCAUAAAGGGAUGUAAAUGUUAUAGGAUGGUUAUCGAUUUAGGAAAAAUAAAUAAAGCUACUAGAAAGGAUCAUUAUCCUUUGCUUUUUAUUGAAAAAUGUUAGAAAGAUUAUCUAAGCAGACACAUUUUUGUUAUCUUGAUUGUCAUUCUAGUUUAUCUCAAACAGUUGUUUAUCCUAAAGAUCAAGAGAAAACAACUUUUAUACGUCCUUCUGAUUUUUUUCAUAUGUAUGUAUGUCUUUUGGUUUAUGUAAUGCACCUUCUACUUUUCAAAGAUGUAUGACUGCUAUCUUUAGUGAUUUUUGUGCGAAGAUCAUGGAAGUAUUCAUGGAUGAUUUUUCCUUCUAUGGAACUUCCUUUGAUGAUUUUUUGCACAAUAUUUACAUUGUUUGCAGAGAUGUGAGCAAACUCACAUUUUUAUUUAAUUGGGAGAAGUGCCACUUUAUUGUAAAUGAAUGUAUUGUCCUUGGGCAUAAAAUUUUCGGAUGAGGUAUUGAAGUUCAUAGAGCCAAGGUUGAAGCUAUUGAAAAGAUGUCUUGUCCUUGAGAUAUUAAAGGUAUAUGAAGUUUUCCUAGUCAUGUUGUUUUCUAUAGAAGGUUUAUUAAAAACUUCUCAACCUCUUACUUGAAGGAAAUAUGCCCUAGAGGCAAUAAUAAAGUUAUUAUUUAUUUCCUUAUAUCAUGAUAAAUAUUUAUUAUUCAUGCUAGAAUUGUAUUAACCGGAAACAUAAUACAUGUGUGAAUACAUAGACAAACAGAGUGUCACUAGUAUGCCUCUACUUGACUAGCUCGUUAAUCGAAGAUGGUUAUGUUUCCUAACCAUAAACAAAAGAGUUGUUAUUUGAUUAACGGGAUCACAUCAUUAGAAGAAUGAUGUGAUUGACAUGACCCAUUCCAUUAGCUUAGCACCCGAUCGUUUAGUACGUUGCUAUUGCUUUCUUCAUGACUUAUACAUGUUCCUAUGACUAUGAGAUUAUGCAACUCUCGUUUGCCGGAGGAACACUUUGUGUGCUACCAAACGUCACAAUGUAACUGGGUGAUUAUAAAGGAGCUCUACAUGUGUCUCCAAAGGUACAUGUUGGGUUGGCGUAUUUCAAGAUUAGGAUUUGUCACUCCGAUUGUCGGAGAGGUAUCUCUGGGCCCUCUCGGUAAUGCACAUCACUUAAGCUUUGCAAGCAUUGCAACUAAUGAGUUAGUUGCAGGAUGAUGUAUUACGGAACGAGUAAAGAGACUUGACGGUGACGAGAUUGAACUAGGUAUUGAGAUACCGAUGAUCGAAUCUCAGGCAAGUAACAUACCGAUGACAAAGGGAACAACGUAUGUUGUUAUGCGGUCUGACCGAUAAAGAUCUUCGUAGAAUAUGUGGGAGCCAAUAUGAGCAUCCAGGUUCCGCUAUUGGUUAUUGACCGGAGACGUGUCUCGGUCAUGUCUACAUUGUUCUCGAACCCGUAGGGUCCGCACGCUUAAGGUUUCGAUGACAGUUAUAUUAUGAGUUUAUGAGUUUUGAUGUACCGAAGGAGUUCGGAGUCCCGGAUGAGAUCGGGGACAUGAUGAGGAGUCUCGAAAUGGUCGAGACGUAAAGAUCGAUAUAUUGGACGACUAUAUUCGGACAUCGGAAAGAUUUCGAGUGGUUCGGGUAUUUUUCGGAGUACCGGGGAGUUACGAGAAUACGGGAGAAGAAGUAUAUGGGCCUUAUUGGGCUUUAGGGGAGAGGGAGAGGCAGGCCGCGCGCCCCCCCAAGGCCUAGUCCGAAUUGGACUAGGGGAAGGGGCUGCGCCCCCUCCUUCCUUCUCUUCCCUCUUCCCCUUCCUUGUCUCCUACUCCUACUACAUGGAAGGACUCCUAGUUGGACUAGGAAAGGGGGAAUCCUACUCCCGGUGGGAGUAGGACUCCCCUAGGGCGCGCCAUAGAGAGGCCGGCCCUCCCCUCCUCCACUCCUUUAUAUACGGAGGCAGGGGCACCCCAUAGACACACAAGUUGAUCCACGUGAUCAUAUUCUUAGCCGUGUGCAGUGCCCCUUCCACCAUAUACCUCGAUAAUAUUGUAGUGGUGCUUAGGCGAAGUCCUGCGACAGUUGAACAUCAAGAUCUUCACCACGCCGUCGUGCUGACGGAACUCUUCCCCGACACUUUGCUGGAUCGGAGUCCGGGGAUCGUCAUUGAGCUGAACGUGUGCUAGAACUCGGAGGUGCCGUAGUUUCGGUGCUUGAUCGGUCGGGCCGUGAAGACGUACGACUACAUCAACCGCGUUGUCAUAACGCUUCCGCUGUCGGUCUAUAAGGGUACGUAGAUCACACUCUCCUCUCAUUGCUAUGCAUCACCAUGAUCUUGCGUGUGCGUAUGAUUUUUUUUGAAAUUACUAUGUUCCCCAACAUUACUAACUUUUACGAAAAGACGUUUCAUUUCUUUUUUAUGAUGAUUGUAAGGAAGCUUUUGAAAUUCUUAAGAAAGCCUUAAUAUUUGCUCCUAUAUUCAACCACGCGAUUGGAGUUUGCCUUUUGAAAUUAUGUGUGAUGCCAGUGACUAUGUUGUUGGUGUUGUGUUUGGACAAAGAGUUGAUAAGAAACUGAAUAUUAUAUUAUGCUAGUAAGACUUUCGAUUUUUCUCAAAGAAACUAUGCUAUAGCUAGAAAAGAAUUUCUAGCUGUUUUCUUUGCUUGUGAUAAAUUUAGAUCUUAUAUUGUUGAUUCUAAGGUUACUAUUCAUACUAGCAAUAAGGCCAAGGGAAAUAGGUGUGGGGAAAGAAGAAGGUCGUGAAGGAGGCCGGGAAGAAGAAGCACACGGAGAAGAGGGGCUGACAAGUCACCGCCGGCGGAGAGCAAACCUCCAUUCUGCUCCGUCGUCUUCUCCGACGGAGGGGCUCAGAGAACACCUCGAGCGAGAUUUCAUCACGUAUGCACCCUGAAUCAUGGGCUAUUGAAUUGAGUCGAAGGCAAUAUGGAUUUCAUUCUUCCCUUUCAAGUAGUUUCAGUCGUGUGAACCUCUUCAUCGAAGCCAGUGGCGGAGCCAGGAUUGGGGCAAGCCCCGGCCCAAAAUAGUUUUUGCCGUGAGGGAAAAACUUAACGUACAUAAGGCUUUUUACCUCAAAAGACACCCAUACAAAAUAUGGCCCAAUUGCACUAAAAUUUAGAAUUUAAACUCGAUGCUUAACGAUACAACAAAAUGGAUAAAAACAUAGCAAAAACUACAAAGAACAAUACAUGAUGAAAAAGUGUACCGAAUCAAUGUUUGCUUCAUCUGUGCCUCACAUAACCUCAACAACGAUGGAAGAAGAGCCAACACCUUCAAGACAUGAAAAACAAAAUUUCAUAAGAGAAGACAUAAAUAUCAAGUGAAACAAUUAUCACUAAUACAAAUAUAAAAACUUACCACUUCGACGAGGUAAAGCCCUUUGCGAGAUCUAUAAGCGAUAUACCCUAGACUGAUGAAAAAAAAUCUCUUCAUAUUAUUUUUCUACAAUAUGAAAUAAAUUAGCAACUACAUCAAUUUGAGUUCGACAAUACCCUGGAUAUAUGACUGGAUACAUAUACACACACUAUUUCAAUUAAAUUUCAAUUCGGAACAGUUUAUACACUGAUAUAAGUAGAACAUCGUACAAGUGAAAAGCGUCAGGGGAACAAAGAAAACGUCAAAGAAAAAUACAAGGUGCGACAGCCGGCAGUGAAGCAACCAGCACGGGAUGGCGCGCCCGGGCGAAAGACGCACAUGACAGCAGGGCAGCGGGCGGGAGCCAGGGAAGUGGGGAGGGGGUUGGUGGGCGGAGGCAUCGCCGGCGGUGCGAACGCUAGAGUCUGGAGAUUUGAUCAUGUGUGUGUGCGCGACUCGGCGGCGGCUGCACGAGCGCCGCGUCUCCAUGUUUCAGCAACAGCACUGCGUUCCUCUGCCUCGUGCGUGCGAGUAGAUCGUGGGGUAGCGUUGCCUCGUUCGUGCGUCCGUUUCACAUAAGACAGGUCAAGGCUUUGGGCUUUCUUUCGUUUACUGGGCUGCACCCCGGGCCUGCAGAAAAAGCUAUAUAAUUGCAGCCUAUUAAAUUUUGCAUGCCCCGGGCCUGGGCCCUAGGUGCCCGGGGCCCAGCUCCGCCCCUGAUCGAAGCCAAAAUUGCAAUACCGGUGGUUUUGACUUAUUUGUACUAAACUUUUUACCUAUCAUCAAUUUUUGCGUCAGUAUAUCCUUAAAUUGGUUAACUAUGAACUUUCAGAUAUCAUGUUAGUAUAUAGAUAUACUAUUAAGAUGUUAUAUAACUCGCCAUUAUAUUUUCUACUGUUUAUUAUAGAAAUAUUCAUGUUCUGCCAAACAAAAAACAUGUUCAAAAAAAUGAAUUUCCUUAUCCAUUUUUUAAGAUCUAAAACUUUUGCUAUAAUAAACUUCGCCAUAAGCCUAAGAAUAAAUCUCAUUACACCGGAAAUUAAUUGAUUUGUGGCAAUUAAUGAGAUUGUAGUGCAUUUACUAUUUGCAUCCAUAGUAUACUUAAUAAAUACUUCCUUCGUCCUGAUUUACUUGUCGUAAAAAUGGAUGUAUCUAGAACUAAAAUGCAUCUACAUACAUUUAUUUGUGCGAGUAUAUAUAUAAGCAUGGUAGAGUGUUUAGAACAUACAUUCGCCACAAAUAUCCCGACAUGUCUCUAGAGUACUACACAAUAGAAAUUCUUUAUCACAUGAAAUUUGAAAUAUGUCUUUCACGUUCUUGGUGUUUAUAAGCUUGAUAGUGGCCCGUGCGGGUGGCCAUGCGUUCUUUGCAUUUACUCUCAAAUUGCAAGCAAAUGUGUGGGAUUGUAUAUAACUUAAACUUCUCAAAGGAUGUAAAUUUUUUUGAGAGAAGGGUCGAAGUAUUGUUCUUUUGAUCUCCCGGUAAUGUAGUAUACCUAUAGUAAUCCGACUAAAUGAUUCUAGUGAGUUGGCCUCCCUCUAUCUCGCUAGAUAUCAAGCCAACCUAUUAAAACUAGGGAAAUGUUAUCUAGAAUACCGGGUAUUAUAGAUAAUAUAUAUAUAUAUAUAUAUAUAUAUAUAUAUAUAUAUAUAUAUGAAAAAUGUAUUUGGGGAUGUUCAGUGAGUAGGGCGUUUUGGUGACCGAGCUCCAUGGAGCCCUUUAUUUUUGAAAAAUUCAAAAUUCAAACUUUUUGACUUCAAAAAAUUCUGAAAAUAAAUAUGUAACUAUACACAGAUGAAAUGCACGUGUGUGUAAAAAUUCAAGAUGAAAUACUUCGAAAUGCAACCUAUAGAAAAAAGACAAAUUUCUGGACUUUGAGGAUGAAUAGUAACAUGUGUUAAAAGGCCUCAGAUUUGUCUUUUUUGCACAGCCUUUAUUUCAACGUAUUUCGUCCUAAAAAUUUACACACAUGUGUGUUAUGCCUCCAUGUAUAUCUGUAAUUUUUUUCAGAUUUUUUUGAAUUGUAAAAAUAUGAAUUUUCAUGAUUUUGGUGUUUUUCAAAAACCGGCCUCCAUGGAGGCCGAGCUCCAAAAGGCAUUUUCGAUGUUCAGUUAUAUAUAAAAGGGUCUAAUAAUCAUCAGGAGUCUUUUUAUAUUUAAUUUAAGGGUUUCUUAUUUCUGUGCCCCUGGUUCCUUAGUUCUACUCAUUCAUCGCCACGCUCUUAACUUUUGCUCACUUUUCCCUACUCCCUUGCCCGAAACCCUCAGAACUGGUCACAACGGACGUUGCCGUCGAGUCAAUGGCUUGACCGUUAACUCUGACGAGUGGGGCCGCGUAGGGAGGAGUCCACAUUUUGACCGUUACGUGCUAACUAGCGGGGUCGCGAAACUGACACUCACUGUAACCUGAAUCAGAUCCAGUCGCUUCCGCGCCGCCCCCUCCGCCGCCAUCAUGCCGCCUCUGCCGCAGUCAUACCGCCUCCGCCGCAGUCGUGCCGCCUCCGCCGCAUCUACCCUCUCUGCCCAUCUAGGAUUAGGAAGCGAUGUCGGGGGGGCACCCCAUCCGGCCCAUCCACCGUGGAGAUGAUUGGGUCGAAUUAGAGGCUGAUAAUCCAUGGGUUCCACCUGGGUAAGCAUCGUUUUCCUCUCAAAUUGAUUAGGAGAUCCGUAAAUUAGGCUGUAUUUGACCACCGUUGGCGUGAAUCAGUGCAAUUUAUCUGAAAAUUUUCGGCCUAACUGCGCCCUUUAUCUUAUUUCAAUCGAAUAGGGUUGAUCCUGCACUUGCUUUUCGGCUGGCGGUUAGAAUGGAAACUAGCGAGCUGCGUGGAACUAAACCGUGUCUGAUUUCUAGAUUUUUCUAUCCUAAAGUGCUAGAAACCAGCGUUUCAUUCAUAGGUUUCCGCAAGGCACUCUGUUGUGAGUAUCCGUGGAGCCCUGCCGAUGCUGUGGAACUGAGAUAUUUCAAUAGUACCGAGCAGAUAUUUGUCCCAUUAACUUGUGAUGAGCAUCUUUGAUUAAUAUUUAGUUUGAAUGCUGACAGCCGUUUCGGUAAAAUCCAUAUCGGUGUGCUUUAGGCACGCAAACAACGUAUCCCGAAGGGGAAGGGUGUUCAGACAUCAUCUGUCUCUGCUAAUAGCGAGCGUCCUCGCACUCCUUGUAGGUCGAGACCAAGUAAACCUAGUGGUUCUGAAAGCCACAACAUGUCGGUUGCCGCUAAUUCUGCCACUUUUCCUCUUCCUUCUACACCUAAUGUGGAAGUAGAUGCAGAGCCUGACGAGGAAGUGCCUCGACAUGAUGAUGAGGAUGAGAUUCUAUUCCCUGAACUGGUAGAUAGAGUCAGUCAACAAGCAGUGGAAGAUGAAUAUCUAGAGGAGCCUAGCAGCCGUGCUAGAUUUGAUGACACUGACGAUGAAGAGAGGGAGGAGAACAUUGACUCCUUACUUUUACAAGAUUAUGAUGGUGAGGACAUGCCAACAAUUGAGUGGAACAAGGAGAAUCCUGACCUUACUCCAGGAACCGUAUUCGAAUCGAUGGUGGACUGUCGUAAUGCAGUGACUACAUAUUGCAUUCUCACUGAAAACUCUUAUGAGGUUGAUAGGAGUGAGCCAGGAAGAUUCACUGUUCAUUGCCCUUAUGAUAGGUGUAGGUGGAGGUUGCAUGCAUCCACUAUACUAACAAGCAAAUUGAUUCAGGUAUUACAACUGAAUCUUUUUAUCAGAUUAUUUAUCCAUUCUAUAUUCAGAUCAUGUGUAUUGUUUCUUAAUUGUAUUUGACAUCAUUUUUCAUUUUGUUUUAGAUAAAAAGCAACCCACAUGGUCACACUUGCCCACCUGGAGUGGGGGGAGGAAAAAUCUAAGCUUGCAAAGACUAGGUGGGUGGCAGAUGCAAUCUUGGAUUGGGUGAGGGAAACACCAACAAUUGGUCCAACAACACUUCAUGGGAAGCUAUUUGAGAAGUACAAGAUUAAUAUACAUUACAUGAGGAUUUUCUAUGCUAAGGAAAGGUCUCUUGAUAGGAUUAAUGGUCCAUGGAAUGAGAGUUUUCGAUUGCUUUACACCUUCAAAGCUUUAGUGGAGAUGGCUAGUCCAGGGAGUGUUGUAGAGAUUGACAAGCAUACAGUUAAGUACAAAUUAAAAGGGAAGGCAUUGGAGAAGGAGUGCUUUAGUAGGACUUUUGUUUGUUUCAAGGCUUGAUGGCAGGGGUUUCUGAAUGAUUGUAGGCCCUAUUUGGCUGUCGAUGCAACUGGUUUGAAUGGAAGAUGGAGAGGCCAGCUAGCAGCAGCUUCUGCAGUUGAUGGACACAACUGGCUAUUCCCGGUUGCAUUUGGUGUGUUGGAGGUAGAGUGUGAGGAGAGUUGGGUCUGGUUUCUACAGCAGUUGCGCAACAUUAUAGGUACACCCUCAGGUUUAGUUAUACACACAGAUGCUUGCAAGGGUUUAGAAACUUCAUUAGAAAUUGUAUUCCCUAGAGUGGAACAUUGGGAAUGUAUGUGACACCUAGCGUAGAAUUUUAAAAAGAAAUUCAAAGGCAAAGUUUAUGAUGAGAAUCUAUGGCCAGCAUCAUACACAUGCAGCUUGGGGAAGCAUGGGCACCAUUUGAGAGUGUUGUAUGCUCACAAUCCUUUGGUGAAGGAGUACAUGGAUGAACAUCAUGGAAAGCUGUGGUCAAGAAGCAAAUUCAAUGAAAUCUGUAAAGUAGACUAUGUGACCAAUAAUCUCACUGAGUGUUUCAAUGCAAAGUUCAAGUCAGUGAAAGGGCUUUUGUUGUGGCAAGCAUUUGAUAAGAUCAGACAGAUGAUCAUGGUAAAGAUGGCUCUUCGUAAAAGAAUUGCAGAAACACAAUAUGUUUGCCAUCUUAUGCUCCCAUCUCUGAUUAAGGCAUUGCAUGCCAAGGCAAGAGGACUAAGGAUGAAAUGCAUUAUUCGACCUCGACAUACGAGAUAACCAGUGAACCUUGCAACUAAGGAAUGCAGUUGUAGGCAAUGGCAGAUCCGCGGGAAACCGUGCAUACAUGCCCUACAUCUCAUGACUGUUAUUGGAGGUGAAGAUGGUGAAGUAGAUCAGUAUUGCUCUGAAUAUUUCUCUAUUGCCAAAUUUAGGGCCUCUUAUGCUGAAAAUGUGCCUGCACUCUUGGGAAAAGACCAAUGGAACAUAGUAGACCUAGGGUUCAGACUCUAUUCUCAUGUACUGACUAGACCACCAGGAAGACCAAGGGAAAACACGAUAAGAGCCGGUGAAGAGGGUCGUGUAAAAAAACAGCGUAAGUGAAAAUGAUGUGGUAUCCUAGGGCAUAUUGCUAGGCGUUGUACCAAUCUAGUUGAUGCAUCAUUUGGAGAAGAGGAACAACGGGCAGUAGCAAAUGCAGAGGAGAAUGCAGCAUCAAAGGAGAAUGCAGCAAGUUUAGAGGAGAAUGCAGCAGCAGAGGAGAAUGUAACAAGUUUAGAGAAUGAAGCAACUGAAGUAGCAGCUUGGUAUGUGUGCAAUCUUUCCAUUUUUUGCAUCUGUUCUCUUUUUUUAUCAAUGUCUAAGCUUACUUCUAUCUGACCUAGCUCUAGGAUAAUUAGAGGCACAAGACAGAAAAGACCUAGAGAGGAAGAAACUUCGUUUGAACCAUCAUGUGAUGCGGAAUUUGAAACCAUGGCUUAUGAAGGUUUUGAAGAUAUAAGAGAGGAGGAAGUUGAUACGUUUCCAACGUAUCUACUUUUCCAAACACUUUUGCCCUUGUUUUGGACUCUAACUUGCAUGAUUUGAAUGGAACUAACCCGGACUGACGCUGCUUUCAGCAGAACUACCAUGGUGUUAUUUAUGUGCAGGAGCAAACGUUCUCGGAAUGACCUGAAACUUCACGGAGACACUUUUCAGAAAAUAAGAAAAUACCUGCCAAAGAUGAAGGCCAGGGGGCCCACCGUCUCUCCACGAGGGUGGGGGGCACGCCUCCCCCCUAGGGCGCGCCCCCUACCUCGUGGGCCCCCUGUUUCCUCUCCGACUCCAACUCCACCUCCAUAUAUUGAGUUUCGAUGAGAAAAAAAUCAGAGAGAAGAAAUCAUCACGUUUUACGAUACGGAGCCGCCGCCAAGCCCUAAAACCUCUCGGGAGGGCUGAUCUGGAGUCUGUUCGGGGCUCCGGAGAGGGGAAUCCGUCGCCAUCGUCAUCAUCAACCAUCCUCCAUCACCAAUUUCAUGAUGCUCACCGCCGUGCGUGAGUAAUUCCAUCGUAGGCUUGCUGGACGGUGAUGGGUUGGAUGGGAUCUAUCAUGUAAUCGAGUUAGCUUUGUUAGGGUUUGAUCCAUAGUGUCCACUAUGUUCCGAGAUUGAUGUUGCUAUGACUUUGCUAUGCCACUAGGGCCAGAGUGCCAUGAUUUCAGAUCUGAACCUAUUAUGUUUUCAUCAAUAUAUGAGUGUUCUUGAUCCUAUCUCGCAAGUCUAUAGUCACCUUUUAUGUGUUAUGAUCCGUUAACCCCGAAGUGACAAUAAUCGGGAUACUUACCGGUGAUGAUCGUAGUUUGAGGAGUUCAUGUAUUCACUAUGUGUUAAUGCUUUGUUCCGGUUCUCUAUUAAAAGGAAGCCUUAAUAUCCCUUAGUUUCCGUAAGGACCCCGCUGCCACGGGAGGGUAGGACAAAAGAUGUCAUGCAAGUUCUUUUCCAUAAGCACGUAUGACUAUGUUCGGAAUACAUGCCUACAUUAUAUCAAUGAACUGGAGCUAGUUCUGUGUCAUCCUAGGUUAUGACUGUUACAUGAUGAACCGCAUCCGGCAUAAUUCUCCAUCACCGAUCCAUUGCCUACGAGCUUUCCAUAUAUUGUUCUUCGCUUAUUUACUUUUCCAUUGCUAUUGCUAUCAUCACUACAAAAUACCAAAAACAUUGCUUUUACUACUGUUACCCUUUGCUACCGUUAUCACUACUAUCAUAUUACUUUGCUACUAAACACUUUGCUGCAGAUAUUAAGUUUCUAGGUGUGGUUGAAUUGACAACUCAGCUGCUAAUACUUGAGAAUAUCCUUUGUCUCCCCUUGUGUCGAAUCAAUAAAUUUGGGUUGAAUACUCUACCCUCAAAAACUGUUGCGAUCCCCUAUACUUGUGGGUUAUCAAGACCAUUUUCUGGCGCCGUUGCCGGGGAGCAUAGCUCUAUUAUUUGAGUCACUUGGGAUAUAUAUCUGCUUAUCAUUAUGAAGAACUUGAGAGAUCCAAAAACCAAGAUCUAUCCCUCAACUACGAGGGGAGGUAAGGAACUGCCAUCUAGCUCUGCACUUGAUUCACCUUCUGUUAUGAGUAAGUUUGCGACACCUACACCUGCUUCUGCUAUUCGUUCUGAUAUGUCGCAUGUUAUUGAUCAUGCCACUUCUGCUAUGCAUGAUACUUAUGAUGAAACCACCUCUAUGCCUGAUACUACUAUGCCACUUAGUGAUUUUCUUGAUGAACAACUUGCUAGGGCUAGAGAAAUUGAAAAUAUUGAAUCUGAUGAUACUGAUGAAAGUGAUGAUGAAGAACCACUUGCUAUUCCUAAGGGUUAUGUAUUUGAUCAAGAUGCUUCUUUAUCCAUUUUAGUUUGCAGAAAUAGAACUGAACUUAAAAAAUUAUUGGCUAAAUGGAGUAAGCAAUCCCUAAAUGAUAGAAUGAAACCUGACCCUGCUUUGCUACUUCACCUAUCUUUGUUACUGAUAAGGAUUAUGAAUUCUAUGUUGAUCCUGAUAUAAUUACUUUGGUUGAAUCUGAUCCUUUUCAUGGUUAUGAAUCUGAAACUGUUGUGGCACAUCUUACUAAAUUAAAUGAUAUAGCUACCCUGUUUACUAAAGAUGAGAGAACUCGUUACUUUUAUAUCCUUAAAAUAUUUCCGUUCUCAUUAAAGGGUGAUGCUAAGAUAUGGUUUAAUUCUCUUGAUCCUGGUUGUGUGCGUAGUCCCAUGAUAUGAUUUAUUACUUCUCUACUAAAUAUUUCCCUGCUCAUAAGAAACAAGCUGUUUAAGGGAUAUAUAUAAUUUUGUGCAAAUUGAAGAAGAGAGUCUCCCACAAGCUUGGGGGAGGCUUCUCCAAUUACUUAAUGCUUUGCCUGAUCAUCCUCUUAAGAAAAAUGAAAUACUUGAUAUCUUUUAUAAUGGACUAACCGAUGCCUCCAGAGAUUACCUGGAUAGUUGUGCUGGUUCUGUUUUUAGGGAAAGAACACCGGAUGAAGAUGAAAUUCUAUUAGAUAAUAUGUUGACAAAUGAAAAUAAUUGGACUUCUCCGGAGCCAAUUCCUGAGCCUAUUCCUAAACCAACUCCGAAGAAGAGGGGUAUUCUAUUUCUCAGUCCUGAAGAUACGCAAGAGGCAAAGAAAUCUAUGAAAGAAAAGGGUAUUAAAGCUGAAGAUGUUAAGAAUUUACCUCCUAUUGAAGAAAUACAUGGUCUUAAUUUACCGCCUGUUGAAGAAACAUAUAAUCUUAAUCCAUUACCUAUUGAAGAAACUCAUGGUCUUGAUAACCCGACACAGGUAGUAAAGGUAAAUUCUCUCUAUAGAUAUGAUAAAGCUGUAAUGCCAUUCACUAAAAUUGCUAGCCCAUGCUUAGAUGAGUUUGAUAAAUUUAUGGCUAAGAAAGAAGAUUUUAAUGCUUAUUUUGGUAGACAAUUGAAAUACAAUUCAAAUAUGCUUGGACACUUGGGUGAUUAUAUGGCUAAUGUUAAAGGUGAACUUAAACUUAUUAGUAAACAUGCUUCUAUGGUUACCACUCAAGUAGAACAAGUACUGAAAGCUCACAAUGAUUUGCUCAAUGAAUUGAACAAAUGAUAAUGCUGUUAGAGUUAUGACUAGAGGUGGAAGAAUGACUCAGGAACCUUUGUAUCCUGAAGGCCAUCCUAAAAGAAUUGAACAAGAUUCUCAGAGAAAUAAUAUAGAUGCACCUAGCAUUUCUAAAAAGAAGGAAAAGAAAAAUGAUAGGACUUUGCAUGCUUCUAGUGAUCCUAUUGUUGAAACACCUGAGAAUCUAAAUGAUAUUUCUAUUUCUGAUGCUGAAACUCAAUCUGGUAAUGAACCUGAAAUUAGUGAUAAUGUUAAUGAUAAUGUUCAUGAUGAUGCUCAACUUAGUAAUGACAAUGAUAUAGAAAUUGAACCUGCUGUUGAUCUUGAUAACCCACAAUCAAAGAAUCAACGUUAUGAUAAGAAAGAUUUUGUUGCUAGAAAACACGGUAAAGAAAGAGAGCCAUGGGUUCAGAAACCCAUGCCCUUUCCUCCUAAACCAUCCAAGAAAAAGGAUGAUGAGGAUUUUGAGCGCUUUGCUGAAAUGAUUAGACCUAUCUUUUUGCGUAUGCGAUUAACUGAUAUGCUUAAAACCAAUCCUUAUGCUAAGUACAUGAAAGAUAUUAUUACAAAUAAAAGAACGAUACCGGAAGCUGAAAUUUCCACCAUGCUUGCUAAUUAUACUUUUAAGGGUGGAAUACCAAAGAAACUUGGAGAUCCCGGUGUACCCACUGAAAGAACAUGCGGUGCCCCCAUGUUUGGUUUUGGUAAUUGAUGACAAUCUCUAUGGACUAAUGGUUGCCUUGAGUUAUAUUUGAAGGUUUUGUCCAUAGGCUUUUCUUGGAGUACAUGUCUUGGUUUCAAGGAGAGUUUGUGUCGACCAAGGUGCUAUUCAAGGAAUUACCUAAAGAUUGGUCUUGUGAGAGGUUGAUCAAGACUAAGUCAAAGAAUGAAUCAAGUUGAUCAACCCACAAAGUGUAGAAGAUGUACCGAGAGGGAUCAAGUGAUCCCAUGGUAUGGUAAGCAUUGUCAAUUACGCUUUGUGUACUAACCCAUGGUCUUUGUGAGGGUUCUUUGUGGGGUUAGGUUGCUGUGUGCAAGUUCAAGUGGAGCAUCUGAAAGCACAAGUGCUCCCUGGGUGGUUUUGGUAAUUAAUGUCAACAUAUCUCUUGUUGGACUAACACUUUUACCUAGUAUGUUUCAGAUAAGUUCAACAAUGGAGUGGCAUGGACUAGAGGAUGUGGAACCCCUUCAAGAUGCUAAGGACAAAGGAUUGGCUCAAGCUUCAAGAUCAAGACUCUACAUUUUCUAUUUAGUGAUCCAAGAUCACAUUGAGUCUAUAGGAAAAGCCGAUACUACCAAGAGGGGAUGAGGUGUUGCUUAAUGGCUUGCUUGCUCAAAGUGCUUAGUGAUAUGCUCCAAAACCCUCAACUACCUUCCCACAUCCACAUAUGACCUAAACCAAAAGUCAAACUCGGCCCAACCAAUUCUAUCUAUCCGGCGCCAUCGAGUUUCAGAUGUCAUAGCCACUGCCACAAACCCUAGCAAAUCAGUUUCACCGAUAGGGAUCUCGGUCUCACCGAGAUGGGAUUGUAAUCUCUCUGUGUAUGUCCAUUACCAAAAUCGGUCUCACCGAGUUUGAGAAAUUGGUACUACCGAGAUUACAAUGCAAACCCUCUGGUUAGCUUAUUACCAAAAUCGGUCCCAUCGAGUUUGUGUAAUCGGUCUCACCGAGUUUGCCUGACCAACUCUCUGGUUAGCUUAUUACCAAAAUCGGUCCCACCGAGUUUGUGUAAUCGGUCACACCGAGAUUACGUUAUGCCCUAACCCUAACCAUAUCGGUCCUACCGAGUUGCAUCUCAGUCCCACCGAAAAUCCUAACAGUCACUAAGUUUGCUGAAUCGGUCCGACCGAGUUUAACCAUUCGGUCGCACCGAGUUUGGCAAAUUGUGUGUAACGGUUAGGUUUUGUGUGGAGGCUAUAUAUACCCCUCCACCCACUCUUCAUUCGUGGAGCGAGCCAUCAUAACAUACCUAGACUUCCAAUACACAUUUUCUGAGAGAAAACCACCUACACUUGUGUUGAGGUCAAGAUAUUCCAUUCCAACCACAUGAAUCUUGAUCUCUAGCCUUUCCCAAGUUGCUUUCCACUCAAAUCUUCUUUCCACCAAAUCCAAAUCCUGUGAGAGAGAGUUGAGUGUUGGGGAGACUAUAAUUUGAAGCACAAGAGCAAGGGGUUCAUCAUCAACACACCAUUUGUUACUUCUUGGAGAGUGGUGUCUCCUAGAUUGGCUAGGUGUCACUUGGGAGCCUCCAACAAGAUUGUGGAGUUGAACCAAGGAGUUUGUAAGGGCAAGGAGAUUGCCUACUUCGUGAAAAUCUACCGCUAGUGAGGCAAGUCCUUCGUGGGCGACGACCGUGAUGGAAUAGACAAGGUUGCUUCUUCGUGGACCCUUCAUGGGUGGAGCCCUCCGUGGACUCGCGCAACCGUUACCCUCCGUGGGUUGAAGUCUCCAUCAACGUGGAUGUACGAUAGCACAACCUAUCGGAACCACGACAAAAACAUCCGUGUCUCCAAUUGCAUUUGAAUACUCCAAACCCUUCUCUUUACAUUCUUGCAAGUUGCAUGCUUUACUUUCCACUUCUCAUAUACUCAUUGCAUGCUUGCUUGAUAUGUAUUGAGUUUGUUAAACUUGUGCUUAAACUCCACUUAAACUUAAGUAUAUUAAAAACUGCAACUUUUGGCACUUAGCGUCUAAUCACCCCCUCUAGACACCUCUUCUCGAUCCUUUCAAUUGGUAUCAGAGCUUUGGUCUCCAUUGCCUUGGUUUAAACACCAUUGGAGGAAGAUGGAUGUGUCUACUUUGGGGAGUCUUAGACAUAGAGUGCCUAUUCUUGAUGGAGAGUAUUUUUCAUGAGUGGAAAAAUGAAAUGCUUGAGAUUUUCAAUGAAUAUCAUUUGAACAAGUACAUUACUAGCCCUUGUGCACCUCAUGUUUAUCCUUUGCACCCUAUCCUAGAUGAAGAUAUUGACAUGAUUCGCAAUCUUAGAACUGUUGAGCUCAUCAUUAGAGGCUUGCCUAGAAACUUGAUUAGAUGUUUGCCUACUCUCAAGUGUGCCUACACCAUCUGGAGAUUUCUUGAGGAAUGAUUUCCAGAUUAUUCCUUGAAAAAUUUAGAUGAAAUUCUCCAUAAGUCUAUUGCCUUGAGUAAGAUGAACUCUAGUGAUCCUAGCUUUGGUGAUUGUCUAUUUGAGCUUACCAAUCUCAUGCGUGCUAAAGGAAAUGUUGGAAUCAUUAGCGAUAUCAUAUCCGAAGCUAUUAGAAUUCAUAAAGGUAACCAUUGUGAUGAUCAUUUAUCUAAUGAAUUACCCUCUCUAGGAAUUGAUCAAUCACAAGAUGAUGUUGAACAUGGAUACUAUGAUGAAGAUGAUGAUAGUGACUAUGAUCUUUAUGAUGCAAUGAGGCAUUUUGGUCUUAUGGCAAAUCUUCGCGGCUACAUGGCUGGAGGAAAGGAAUGGGUCCUUGAUAGUGGAUGUACUGAUCAUAUGACCGGAGAUAAAUAUAUGUUCCGUGAGCUUGCUGAAAACGACAACCCUCGAAAAUAUGUCACUUUUGGUGAUAAUUCAAAGGGUAAGGUGGUUGGCCUUGGUAAGGUGGCCAUCUCACAUGAUAGCUCCAUACAAAAUGUCAUGCUCGUUGAAUCCCUUGGAUACAAUUUACUUUUAGUUUCUAGACUUGCAGAUUUCGGUUUCAAUGUCUUAUUCACUGAAGUAGAUUGCCAAGUGUUUCGUAGAGACAAUCAUAAAAUGGUCUUUACCGGUAUACGUAGAGGAGAUCUUUACAUUGUUGAUUUCACUAAAAAGGCUCAACCUAGAACUUGCUUAAGUACCAAAUCUUCUAAAGGCUGGUUGUGGCAUAGAAGACUAGGUCAUGUUGGUAUGCGAAAUCUUGAUAAGCUUAUUAAAGGUGAUCAUAUCCUUGGAAUAAAAGAUGUCAUAUUUGACAAGGAUAGAAUUUGUAGUGCCUGUCAAGCAGGGAAACAAGUUGGAGGAAGUCACCGCGCGAAGAACAUCAUGACCACAAGAAGACCACUCGAGCUACUUCACAUGGAUCUCUUUGGUCCAAAUGCCUACAAGAGUCUCGGUGGUAACUCAUUUGGUCUAGUCAUAGUUGAUGAUUUUUCAAGAUUUACGUGGGUGUUCUUUCUUGAUGACAAAUCGCAGGUCCAAAAGAUCUUCAAAAACUUCGCUAGGAAGGCCCAAAAUCAGUUUGACGUGAAGAUCAAGAAGGUUCGGAGCGACAACGGAACGAAGUUCAAGAAUGCAAAUGUGGACACCUUUCUUGACGAAUAAGGGAUUUCACACGAGUUCUCGGCUACGUACACACCUCAACAAAAUGGAGUUGUUGAAAGGAAGAACCGGACUCUUAUCAAGAUGGCAAGAACGAUGCUUGAUGAGUACAAAACGCCAAAGCACUUUUGGGCGGAAGCGGUUGAGACAGCUUGUCAUGCAACAAAUCGCUUGUAUCUUCACAAGCUACUCGGCAAGACGGCAUACGAGCUCCUCACCGGUAACAAACCCCAAGUUGGAUACUUUCGAGUAUUCGGCUCAAAGUGCUACAUUCUUUAUAAGCAUCGUCGUUCUAAAUUUGCUCCUAAAUCUCAUGAAGGUUUCCUACUUGGUCACGGCUAAACUCUCACACUUACCGUGUCUACAACAAUUUCACCCGAAAGGUUGAAGAGACGGUAGAUGUGAAGUUUGAUGAAUCUAACGGCUCGCAAGUAGAGCAAUUGCCAAUUGAUGUAGGAGACAAAGACCCUUCAGAAGCAAUUCAAGACUUGUCCAUUGGCAAGAUUCGUCCAACGGAAGUGAAGGAGAGUACCUCGUUCGUCCAAGUGAAAGCUUCUACCUCAUGACAAGGUGAACCAAGAGUUGAUACGGAAGCAUCCACAAGUGGGACACACCAAGAUGAAGAAAACGAGGAAGCGCACCAAGAUGAACAUCAACAACCUCCUUCUCCACCACGACAAGAGAAUGACAACAUCAACAAUAAAGAAGGCCAAGAAGAAGCACAAGAUGAAGAGGAUGUUCCACCCCGACCCAAGCAAAAGCUUUCACGAGUUCGAGCAAGAAUUGCUAAGGAUCAUCCCGUCGAGCAAAUCUACAAUGAUAUCCAAACCGGGAGAAUCACUCGCUCUAAAACUCGUUUAGCUAACUUUUGUGAACAUUACUCAUUCAUCUCUAGCAUUGAACCUAUGAAGGUUGAAGAAGCAUUGGAGGAUCCGGACUGGAUAAACGCUAUGCAUGAAGAGCUACACAACUUUGAGAGAAAUCAAGUGUGGACAUUGGUCGAGAAGCCCGACAACAACCACAACAUCAUUGGUACCAAAUUGGUGUUUCGCAACAAGCAAGAUGAAGAUGGACAAGUGGUUUGCAACAAAGCACGUCUCGUCGCCCAAGGCUACACACAAGUUGAAGGUAUGUACUAUGGUGAGACAUAUGCUCCCGUUGCUAGACUUGAGUCCAUUCGCAUCUUACUUGCUUAUGCUAAUCACCAUGAUAUCACCUUGUACCAAAUGGACAUUAAAAGUGCUUUUCUAAAUGGCAAAAUUGAGGAGGAAGUUUAUGUUAAGCAACCUCCCGGCUUCGUCAAUCCUAAGAAACCUAAUCAUGUUUACAAACUUCACAAAGCCCUUUAUGGUCUUAAACAAGCUCCUAGAGCAUGGUAUAAAUGCUUGACCAAGUUCCUUAUUGAAAAAGGCUUUGAAAUUGGUAAAAUUGAUUCUACUCUUUUUACUAAAAGGGUUAAUGGAGAACUAUUUGUGUGCCAAAUUUAUGUUGAUGAUAUCAUAUUUGGUUCAACUAACCCUCAUUUUAGUGAGAAGUUUGGAAAGCUAAUGUCGGAGAAGUUUGAGAUGUCUAUGAUGAGUGAACUCAAAUUCUUUCUCGGUUUGCAAAUCAAGCAAACUAAGGAAGGUACCUUUGUCUCUCAAACGAAGUACACCAAGGACUUAUUCAAGAAGUUCAAUAUGCGAGAAUGCAAAGGUAUGACUACACCCAUGCCUACUAGUGGACAUCUUGAUUUGACCAAAGAUGGUGAACCGGUUGAUCAAAAGGUUUAUCGCUCUAUGAUUGGUUCAUUGUUAUAUCUAUGUGUCUCUCGUCCCGAUAUUAUGCUAAGUGUGUGCAUGUGUGCACGAUAUCAAGCUGCUCCUAAAGAGUGUCAUCUUAAGGCUGUGAAAAGGAUAGUGAGAUACCUAAUCCAUACACCAAAUUUUGGCAUUUGGUAUCCUAAGAGGUCCUCUUUUGAUCUUGUUGGCUACUCCGAUUCGGACUAUGCCGGAGACAAGGUUGAUAGAAAAUCCACUUCGGGUACUUGUCAAUUCCUUGGUAGAUCUCUUGUGUCUUGGUCUUCCAAGAAACAAAACUCGGUAUCCUUAUCCACCGCCGAAGCGGAAUACAUUGCCGCUGGUUCAUGUUGUGCUCAAUUACUUUGGAUGACCCAAACUCUUAAAGAUUAUGGGAUAUAUGUGAAACAUGUUCCAUUGCUAUGUGACAAUGAAAGUGCUAUUAAGAUUGCUCACAAUCCCGUGCAACAUUCUCGAACUAAGCAUAUUGAAGUUCGUCAUCAUUUCAUUCGAGAUCAUGUUGCAAAAGGGGACAUUAACCUUAAGCAUGUUCGCACCGAUAAGCAAUUGGCGGAUAUAUUCACUAAACCACUUGAUGAGAAAGUGUUUUGAAGGUUGAGAGGUGAAUUGAACAUCAUUGAUGCUUCAAACUUGGAGUAGGAACUCCAUUUGAUACACGCGGGGCAUGAGCCUAUGACUAAUCCUCGAUAUUUCUCUUAUGAUGCUAUUCAUAUGUCUUGGAUAUAUUUGUACCUUGCAUGUUAUCUAACCCGUGUAGGUACUUGGUUGAAUCUAAAUCUAUGAGAUUGCAACUCACUCACAUCUUGAGCAAUCUCUACAUCACCAAGUCUCUACACAAUGGUGGUUGAAGACAAGGAAGCACGAAACCAUUCAAACAUAUCCUUUGGCAAAUUCUAUGUUGAGUCUCAUGAUUGUCAUUUUGGAUACACAAGUGCUCUUCCUUGCAAAGCUAACCCAUGUAGGUAGAUGAACUCAAACUCCAAGUGGUGCUCCCAACCCUUGAUGAACUACAUCAACCUUGAGCAACCCACACAAGUUCAACUACAUGAGCAAGAUCAACACCACCACCCAAGGUAUGUUAUUCCAUCUUAGAGAAGCUUUACUCCAAGUCAUGAGUCAAAGCAACUCGACAAGAUGUGAAUACAUCAAAAGGCUUAAAUGAAAAAUGGUAACCCCAUUUUGAGCUUAAACGAUGAGUAUAACCUAUGAUCAAGUGCUCUCACUUGACUCCUAAGUCAAUAUACUCUAACAUAGGUGACUUUGUCGCCGACCAUCUCUAGAUGAAGUUCUCGUGUGUCUCUCCGUGCUUUUGUCUCUUGCAUAUUUGUUUCCCCUUUCAAAAAAAACUUCAUCUAGAACUUUUAGUUUCUUUCUUUCCUUUUUGUUCUGCAUUUUCUGCAUUCAAUUCAUUGCAAAUCUUUCAGUAAAUUCCUUGCAUAUCCUUGUGAGCUCUUACUUGUCUAGUGAGCUGAGGUGACAAGUGGUUUCACUCUAAUGAACUCGGUCACACCGGUUUGUUCUCUUCGGCCCAACCGAAAUCUUUCGGUGCAACCGAAAUCUUUCGGUGCAACCGAAGCACACAACUCGGAGUCACCGAUUCCACCACAGGAAAACCAACUUGCCACUUAUUCCUGAUUUCUGUUUGCUCCAGCUCCACUCAAUGAUUCUUGUCCUCUACCAGCAUCAUAUUAGACAUGCUGCUUUGCUCUGUGACUCGAGGACCAACCCAUUUGUAUCACAUCUCCAGAAGAGCCUUUCUUGGAAAUUGAUGUCAAAGGGGGAGAGAGAGAUCACAUCAAAGCUUAAUCCUUCCUAUAGGGGGAGAAAGAGAGAAUACUCAGGGGGAGAGAGUUUCUCAACUAGGAGAAAGUAAUAUCAUCAAAGACCCCAGAUGCUUGGUGUUCAAGAGGAGAUAUGUCACAUGUCUUUAAGAGGGGAAAGACAUGUUUGGUUGCUUGCUUUAGCUCAAGCUCUGUUGUUUCCUUUUUUGUUGCUCUGAUUUUCUGUUCCCUAUCUUCUCCCAAUAUCCCAUGCAGAUUUAGGGGGAGCAAGACAUCUAAGGGAAGGAAAUCUAUGAUUUUAUUGCAUAUCUUUACCUUUGGGGACAUGUCUAUAUCCAAUGUGGUACUUAGUACUCACUCUACAUGUCAUCCCAGUCUUGGUUCUCUUGUGGUUUCUCUUGCUUGCUCUGGUUAGUAGGUGUAUCUGUGUUAUUUAACCUUGUUUGCACAGGUUCAUCCCAUCCUAAGCCGACUCAAGACCACAAGGUAAGUAUAUGCAUCACAGUCAUGUGAAUGAGAAGUUCUUGCUGAUGUACAUACUGUUUGAAAGAAGGACUCAUGAGCAUGAAGGUACAUUUCUCACAUUCACAUCAUUUUCUCUGAUGCAUAUAGCCAAGAUACAUGUAACACAUUUCUUACUCUGUCAUGUUUACACAUUCACAUGCUCCUAUAUUCAAUAUUCACAUGCCUAUGCAUGUUACAUGUCUUUCGAAAGCUUUACUUGCUAUUCUCUAUAUCUUUAUCUAAAGCUUUGAUGUAUGUUGUCAUCAAUUACCAAAAAGAGGGAGAUUGAAAGCACAAGUGCUCCCUGGGUGGUUUUGGUAAUUAAUGUCAACAUAUCUCUUGUUGGACUAACACUUUUACCUAGUAUGUUUCAGAUAAGUUCAACAAUGGAGUGGCAUGGACUAGAGGAUGUGGAACCCCUUCAAGAUGCUAAGGACAAAGGAUUGGCUCAAGCUUCAAGAUCAAGACUCUACAUUUUUCUAUUUUAGUGAUCCAAGAUCACAUUGAGUCUAUAGGAAAAGCCAAUACUAUCAAGAGGGGAUGAGAUGUUGCUUAAUGGCUUGCUUGCUCAAAGUACUUAGUGAUAUGCUCCAAAACCCUCAACUACCUUCCCACAUCCACAUAUGACCUAAACCAAAAGUCAAACUCGGCCCCACCAAUUCUAUCUAUCCGGCGCCACCGAGUGAUGUCAUAGCCACUGCCACAAACCCUAGCAAAUCAGUUUCACCGAUAGGGAUCUCGGUCUCACCGAGAUGGGAUUGUAAUCUCUCUGUGUAUGUCCAUUACCAAAAUCGGUCUCACCGAGUUUGAGCAAUCGGUACUACCGAGAUUACAAUGCAAACCCUCUGGUUAGCUUAUUACCAAAAUCGGUCCCACCGAGUUUGUGUAAUCGGUCUCACCGAGUUUGCCUGACCAACUCUCUGGUUAGCUUAUUACCAAAAUCGGUCCCAUCGAGUUUGUGUAAUCAGUCACACCGAGAUUACGUUAUGCCCUAACCCUAACCAUAUCGGUCCUACCGAGUUGCAUCUUAGUCCCACCGAAAAUCCUAACGGUCACUAAGUUUGCUGAAUUGGUCCGACCGAGUUUAACCAUUCGGUCGCACCGAGUUUGGCAAAUUGUGUGUAACAGUUAGAUUUUGUGUGGAGUCUAUAUAUACCCCUCCACCCACUCUUCGUGGAGAGAGCCAUCAGAACAUACCUAGACUUCCAAUACACAUUUUCUGAUAGAGAACCACCUACACUUGUGUUGAGGUCAAGAUAUUCCAUUCCAACCAUAUGAAUCUUGAUCUCUAGCCUUUCCCAAGUUGCUUUCCACUCAAAUCUUCUUUCCACCAAAUCCAAAUCCUGUGAGAGAGAGUUGAGUGUUGGGGAGACUAUCAUUUGAAGCACAAGAGCAAGGGGUUCAUCAUCAACACACCAUUUGUUACUUCUUGGAGAGUGGUGUCUCCUAGAUUGGCUAGGUGUCACUUGGGAGCCUCCAACAAGAUUGUGGAGUUGAACCAAGGAGUUUGUAAGGGCAAGGAGAUCGCCUACUUCAUGAAGAUCUACCGCUAGUGAGGCAAGACCUUCGUGGGCGACGGCCGUGAUGGAAUAGACAAGGUUGCUUCUUCAUGGACCCUUCAUGGGUGGAGCCCUCCGUGGACUUGCGCAACCGUUACCCUCCGUGGGUUGAAGUAUCCAUCAACGUGGAUGUACGAUAGCACCACCUAUCGGAACCACGACAAAAACAUCCGUGUCUCCAAUUGCGUUUGAAUACUCCAAACCCUUCUCUUUACAUUCUUGCAAGUUGCAUGCUUUACUUUCCGCUGCUCAUAUACUCAUUGCAUGCUUGCUUGAUAUGUAUUGAGUUUGUUAAACUUGUGCUUAAACUCCACUUAAACUUAAGAAUAUUAAAAACUGCAACUUUUGGCACUUAGUGUCUAAUCACCCCCCUCUAGACACCUCUUCUCGAUCCUUUCAAUUGGUAUCAGAGCUUUGGUCUCCAUUGCCUUGGUUUAAACACCAUUGGAGGAAGAUGGAUGUGUCUACUUUGGGGAGUCUUAGACAUAGAGUGCCUAUUCUUGAUGGAGAGUAUUUUCAUGAGUGGAAAAAUGAAAUGCUUGAGAUUUUCAAUGAAUAUCAUUUGAACAAGUACAUUACUAGCCCUUGUGCACCUCAUGUUGAUCCUUUGCACCCUACCCUAGAUGAAGAUAUUGACAUGAUUCGCAAUCUUAGAACUGUUGAGCUCAUCAUUAGAGGCUUGCCUAGAAACUUGAUUAGAUGUUUGCCUACUCUCAAGUGUGCCUACACCAUAUGGAGAUUUCUUGAGGAACGAUUUCCAGAUUAUUCCUUGAAAAAUUUAGACGAAAUUCUCCAUAAGUCUAUUGCCUUGAGUAAGAUGAACUCUAGUGAUCCUAGCUUUGGUGAUUUUCUAUUUGAGCUUACCAAUCUCAUGCGUGCUAAAGGAAAUGUUGGAAUCAUUAGCGAUAUCAUAUCCAAAGCUAUUAGAAUUCAUAAAGUUAACCAUUGUGAUGAUCAUUUAUCUAAUGAAUUACCCUCUCUAGGAAUUGAUCAAUCACAAGAUGAUGUUGAACAUGGAUACUAUGAUGAAGAUGAUGAUAGUGACUAUGAUCUUGAUGAUGCAAUGAGGCAUUUUGGUCUUAUGGCAAAUCUUCGUGGCUACAUGGCUGGAGGAAAGGAAUGGGUCCUUGAUAGUGGAUGUACCGAUCAUAUGACCGGAGAUAAAGAUAUGUUCCGUGAGCUUGCUGAAAAUGACAGCCCUCGAAAAUAUGUCACUUUUGGUGAUAAUUCAAAGGGUAAGGUGGUUGGCCUUGGUAAGGUGGCCAUCUCACAUGAUAGCUCCAUACAAAAUGUCAUGCUCGUUGAAUCCCUUGGAUACAAUUUACUUUCAGUUUCUAGACAUGCGGAUUUUGGUUUCAAUGUCUUAUUCACUGAAGUAGAUUGCCAAGUGUUUCGUAGAGACAAUCAUAAAAUGGUCUUUACUGGUAUACGUAGAGGAGAUCUUUACAUUGUUGAUUUCACUAAAAAGCCUCAACCUAGAACUUGCUUAAUUACCAAAUCUUCUAAAGGCUGGUUGUGGCAUAGAAGACUAGGUCAUGUUGGUAUGCGAAAUCUUGAUAAGCUUAUUAAAGGUGAUCAUAUCCUUGGAAUAAAAGAUGUCAUAUUUGACAAGGAUAGACUUUGUUGUGCUUGUCAAGCAGGGAAACAAGUUGGAGGAAGUCACCACGCGAAGAACAUCAUGACCACAAGAAGACCACUCGAGCUACUUCACAUGGAUCUCUUUGGUCCAAAUGCCUACAAGAGUCUCGGUGGUAACUCAUUUGGUCUAGUCAUAGUUGAUGAUUUUUCAAGAUUUACGUGGGUGUUCUUUCUUGAUGACAAAUCGCAGGUCCAAAAGAUCUUCAAAAACUUCGCUAGGAAGGCCCAAAAUCAAUUUGACGUGAAGAUCAAGAAGGUUUGGACGGACAACGGAGCGGAGUUCAAGAACGCAAAUGUGGAUACCUUUCUUGACGAAGAAGGGAUUUCACACGAGUUCUCGGCUACGUACACACCUCAACAAAAUGGAGUUGUUGAAAGGAAGAACCGGACUCUUAUCGAGAUGGCAAGAAUGAUGCUUGAUGAGUACAAAACGCCAAAGCACUUUUGGGUGGAAGCGGUUGAGACAGCUUGUCAUGCAACAAAUCGCUUGUAUCUUCACAAGCUACUCGGCAAGACGGCAUACGAGCUCCUCACCAGUAACAAAUGCUUGAAGCUUGCCAUCCUUUGUGGUGACAAUGGACUUGUGAAGAUGUGCGGAAGAGUGGCUCACCCAUAGUGGAGUAUGGGGGAGCAAUCAACUAGUCUUCAUCAAGUCAACACAAUCAAGAAAGGUUGUGGUGUGCAAGUUCAAGUGGAGCAUCACGAAGAGAUCAAAUGCUUGAAGCUUGUCAUCCUUUGUGGUGACAAUGGACUUGUGAAGAUGUGCGUAAUAGUGGCUCACCCAUAGUGGAGUAUGGGGGAGCAAUCAACUAGUCUUCAUCGAGUCAACCCAAUCAGGAAAGGUGGUCCAACUUGAGGGAGUCAAGAUCGUCAUCAUCUAGCUCAAGUGGACCAUGUGCAAGGCAAAGGUUUGCCCUCGGUAGGUUUUCUAUUUUACCGGUCUCAUGAUGGUAGUUGGGAGACCGGGUUAUAGGAUCGAUUUACGUACUAUCAAGGGGGGCUCUCGAUGAGUAGCUUGAUCGUAUCGUUCGUAGAGAGCUCAAACCAUUGCAUCCUUGCAUCAUAUUUAUUGGUUCUUGUUUGGUUCUUCUCUUUGUGAGUUUUGGAGCUUAUGGUCAUCUUGGUGACAAGCUCGAGUUCAUCGAAAACGGAGUCCACUCGCAUCUUCUAUGAUGUUUUCGAUGUUGGAGGUUUUUGUCGGUUCUUCUCGGUUGGAGGUUUCUCUCCUCUAUUUGUUGGCAUACCUCCUGUCGGUGUCAAAAUUGGCGGAUCUCGGGUAGGGGGUCCCGAACUGUGCGUCUAGGUCGGAUGGUAACAGGAGGCAGGGGACACGAUGUUUUACCCAGGUUCGGGCCCUCUUGAUGGAGGUAAAACCCUACAUCCCGCUUGAUUAAUAUUGAUGAUAUGGGUAGUACAAGAGUAGAUCUACCACGAGAUCAGAGAGGCUAAACCCUAGAAGCUAGCCUAUGGUAUGAUUGUUGUUUGUCCUACGGACUAAAACUCUCCGGUUUAUAUAGACACCGGAGAGGGCUAGGGUUACACAGAGUUGGUUACAAUGGUAGGAGAUCUACAUAUCCGUAUCGCCAAGCUUGCCUUCCACGCCAAGGAAAGUCCCUUCCGGACACGGGACGAAGUCUUCAAUCUUGUAUCUUCAUAGUCCAGGAGUCCGGCCGAAGGUAUAGUCUGGCCACCCGGACACCCCUAAUCUAGGAGUCCCUCAGUAGCCCCUGAACCAAGCUUCAAUGACGAUGAGUUUGGCGCGCAGAUUGUCUUCGGCAUUGCAAGGCGGGUUCCUCCUCCAAGUACUUCAUAGAAGAUUUUGAACACAAAGGUAGUGUCCGGCUCUGCAAAAUAAGUUUCCACAUAUUGCCAUAGAGAGAAUAACAUUUAGACAAAUCUAAUCUGCUGACGUAUUCCGUAGCGUGACAUCACACCAUGGCCAAGUCUUUAUUCGAAUCGUUUUACUGUCCCACCUCAGCGCGUUUAGCGAGGCGGUUUCCUUGGCACGUCUUGUUAAAGCAGAGAUCGUGUCCCCUUAUUCUGGGAUUCUCAUCAAUACGGGUGUGGGUAACCCAACCGCGCCAUUGACUGUGGCUCUUGGGAGAUAAGCGAGUUUUACCAGGCUGGUGGGGGCGCAUAGUCGCGUCUGCCCAUAUAAGGGGAUAAGGAUCCACCUUUUCAUCCAUGCCUUCUUCCUCCUUUGCCUAUCCAUUUCCGCGCACUCGAGCUCCAGCGCCCAAGUCCACACACCCCACCUCAACCUUCUCCAUCCAUGUCCGGAGCGGGAGGCAAGUGGAUGGUCUCCUCUGUCACGGAGGGACACAUCAAAAGACUGAGGAAGGCUGAAUACUUGUCUAACGACAUUGCGCACCGGCUUCCCGAAGAGGGGCAGCUCAUCCCCACCCCAGGCCCCAUGAGAGCAUGGUGUUCCUCCCCCAUUUCCUCCGCGGACUGGGCUUCCCUCUCCACCCAUUUGUCCAGGGGCUCAUGUUCUACUAUGGCCUGGAUUUCCACGAUCUGGCCCCGAAUUUUGUCCUCAACAUCUCGGCGUUUAUCGUUGUGUGCGAGGCUUUCUUCCACAUCCGCCCCCAUUUCGGCCUAUGGCUCAAGACUUUCAAUGUCAAGCCGAAGGUGGUGCACGGCACCCAAGCGGAGUGCGGAGGCGCCAUGGUGGGCAAGAUGCCCAACGUCCUAUGGUUCGAGGGCUCCUUCGUGGAGUCCCUAAAGGGGUGGCAGUCGGGGUGGUUUUACAUCACAAAGCCGCGCGACCCUGAAUGGGUCGCAACCCCCGAGUUCCGAUCCGGACCCCCUACGCGGCUCGCCUCCUAGAAAGAGAUGGGCCUGUCGUGGGGUAAAAAAGGAGAGCUGACCGGACUCCAAACAUGCGUCCAAAACCUGGUGGACAGGAAUCUCAAACUUGUCAACGUAGUCCAGGUUAUGCUCAUCCGUCGGAUCCUCCCGUGUCAACAACGGGCUUUCAACCUGUGGGAGUUCGACCCGGCGUGGCACCGAACUCUAAGCAGGCUCUUCGACACGACGUACGAAGAUGCCUGGAAGGUGCUAUUCAAGGGCGCCGAGGCCCCCGCAUCUGCUACCGAGGAUCGCGGAUACAGCACGCAGCGUCACGCUUGUGCGGUAAGAUGUUUUCACUUUUUACAGGGUAUUAGUUUUUCAUAGUUUGACUCCAUGCAGGAUCUAAGUUCCCUUACCUUUGACAGGAUUGGCAGGAGACGUCUGGACAGAUCAACUGUCCGGCUCCUUUGCCCGAAGGCCUAGCGGACGCUCGCUUGGCGAAGCUGCUGGCUCCGGCACCUUACGUGGUGUCAGAGUAGAAGGCCAAGAAGAAGGCCACGUGGACUCGGAAGAGCGCCCGGCGCCAGGAGGUGUCGGAUUCACCAUCCGACGACUCCAAGGCGCACUCCUCCCAUGAAGACGAGGAGGAGGAAGAAGAGACCUCUCCCCCUCCAGCGGGGGAAGGGAAGAAAAGGAAGGCCGCCCCAACUGGGGAGGCCGAAGGGUCCAAGAGGGGGAAGACCCCUCCUCCGGACUACUCCACCAACGCCGCCGACGACGAAGAGGAGUGGCCGCACAGGGCCAAGCCCCUGGCGAGAUCGUAAGUAUCUGGAUACCCGAGUGAUUCAUAGUAUUCCCCCAUUGCACAACUUUUCCUUACGUCGAACAUGAUUGUGCAGUCCGCCCAAGGCCGGGCUCGACGAGUCGUCGAGCGGCUCCCUGGAUUCGUCGGAUGUGAAUUAGCUUCCGACGGCUUCCUCCCCCCACCCUACGGACGACGCCGAGGUGGCGUCCCAAUAGGUUCGAAGCCAGGAGGAGGUGGUCCUGGAGGCGCUGCAAGGCAACCUCCCGGACUCUAGGCAUAAAGGGGAUAGAACCCCCAAGGGCUCCAAGUCCGGCCUUGAGCCGGACACCGCGCCGGAACCUUCAACGGUUCCGGACUCCGGUAGGUAGCCUCCUUCCAAGAGGAGCAAGCCUACCGAGACGGUGACCUCCGUCCAACCGGAGGCACCGGACAAUUUGCUGGAGAUGCUUAACGGCGCCUCCAUCGAUGAGGGGCACCACACUAUUAUGAUUGCGGUGAUCCAGAAGGUUCAGUCCGCCAAGAGCGGACUGACUGAAGUCUGUGCCAGCCUUCUAACAGGCUUUGAGGUAAGUAAAGAAUAUGUAAAAAUAUUACCCAUAGACAGUAGCCCCUGAUGCUCUGUUCGGUGUUCGGAAAGAAAAGCCGAAUAGAGGAUCUAAGAAUCACAGGAGUCUAACAUAAUCAAGUCAAUAUGCGUAUGCAGGCUUCACUGCUGGCCUCCGCCGCACUGACUGCGGAGGUGGAUACGCUGAAGUAGAACCUCGAGCGGUCCGAGCAAGAGCUCGGCCUAGCCAAGCAGUAGCUCGAGGAGAAGGAAGGUAAGAAAUACCUUAUUGAAAUAUGUGAAAGGUGCAAUUGCAAAAAGUGACAGGAUUAAUGCGGCUAUUGUAGGGGCCACAACUGCGGUGGCGACCCUUAAGCAAGCGAUGUCCGAGGCCGAAAAGAGGGCGGCCACGGAGCGCACCGAGCGGGAAAAGCAUGAGACGCAGGUUGGCGAGGUGCGGCAAGAGCUCCAGGCUCUCAUGAAAAAACAUGAGAUUUUGGAGCGUGACUCGAAGACAAGAGAGUCUGAGCUCGCGGCAGCCAUUAAAGAUGCCAAGUCUGCCAAGGCCGAAGCCCAGAAGGCCCUCCAGGAGGUUGAGGCAGUAAAAAAGAUAGCGGCGGGUAAGGCAUUCUUUAUGCAAAGCAAGCACAUAAAAGUGAUUUACUUGUCACUUACCUGAAUCCGGAGCUCUCCGGGAGCAUUCGCAGACUUGCCCCGUAGCGUGUCGGAUGCCGCCGCCUUCUACCGCGUCGAGGAGGGAAGCUCGACGGAGAAGGUGUUCUGGUCUCAGUAUGCUGACGCCGAACACCCGGUGCCCUUAAGCGACCAGCUGAAACAGCUGGUCGAGCUCCAUAAGGUGGCCGGACAGGCCAUGAAGGGCCUCAUAGUCCGGCUGUGGCCUGGAGAGGCCAUGCCUGGGAGCUACUUCGGGCUGGUGAGGCGGCUGGUGGAGGCCUGUCCAAGGCUCGAAGCCAUCAAGCGCUCCGUAUGCAUCGAGGGUGCCCGUAGGGCGCUUUCCCGUGCGAAGGUGCACUGGGGCAAGCUGGAUGCUGAGAAGCUUGUGAAGGACGGGCCACCGCGGGGCAAGGAGCAUCGCAAGCUCGAGAUGUAUUAUGAGGGCGUUCUGAAGGGUGCCCGCCUUGUGGCGGAUGAAUGUUCCAUGAAUGUAAUUUUUCAAUGAACUCGCUCGUUUUGUCCUGUGCGCUGAAAACUUGUUCAUGUGCGCUAAGCAAUGCUUUUUGAAUUUAAAAUAUUACCUUCUGUGCGUCCGUUUAUCAAAUUUGAGAGAUGGCGAGUCGUCGGCUUCUGCCCCCAUGCCACGAGUGCUGGGGUGUUCGGGAUAAACAUGAGCGCUCUUUUUCCCAUUCUUGGGUCCUUCGAGGGAGGCGCUCAACACAACGAACAAGGCAAUCAGACUAUAAUGCUUGAACACUCUCACUUAGCCAUAAAAUUCUAUAAUUUUAAAUUUCAGCGAAGCCCCUAGUGUUCGGAAGACCGAGUUCGGGGCGUUAUCCACGCCUAGGCCGGACAAAGCCGACUCCUCGCUCUAAGCGGCAUAAGUCUUUAGGGACUCGAAAACCUCUCGAACAGCGACCAGCUCUCGCCUCAUCAUGACGGUCAGUUUUAGCUUUCUCUACUGAGGUGCUUAGCCCAGCUCAACUGGGGCACAAUCGUAGUAGUUCUCCUAGUGCUACCUUAGCCCAUAUGACGGAAUGUAAGGUACCAAAACAUAGGAGUCGGGCAAACCCAACUAUUGACCCAAGACAUGAUUCGGAGCCGAUGCAUAUAAUGCUAUAAGUUCGGGGUGCCGCACUUGUGAAAGUGUUCGGACUUCUCACACCAUGUUGUGGGGUACUUAAGCCCCUGGCGUAUUGGCCGUACCAAAGUGUACGGGUGCAACAUGUCAUUAAUGAACAUAUAUUCGUAAAAAAGGUAAUGCAAUAAUAGACGGAAGCUAUGCAUUGUUUAUUUAAAAAAGCUGCGAUCAAAGCAGAACGAUACAAAUAGUGAUAAGCAAAGGAUGGGACUAUCAAAUAUGUCCUUUCCAGGGGCGAGCUGCAGAAUGUUAUGCGAAACAGGUAUACUGCUCGUUAUAGAGACCACCUUAGAGUUCCGUAGUGCGGCGUAGCUUUCUGCUUCCCUGGUUGUAUCGUUUGUGCGGCAAUUGUACUGCUGGACAAGCCUUCCGAAGGAUGGAGUCCUGAAAAUAAGAGAAAAUUAAGAAAUCGGCAGCCCCUAGUGCGGUUUAAGCCGCAUUUCGGUCGUGCCGUGAUGGUGCCCCUCCCCCUGUGCCCAUGGUAUUUCUAGAGCAUAGUUAUGUACGCGCAACACUGGUUUCGCAAGUUCGCGAGGGCUGGGGUUGGGGCCGCAUUGCUAUGCUUUCUCGGAACGUGCCAGGCGGUCUUGUUGUAGGUUACUCCGGGCGCGCUUGACGGUGUCCGGACGUUUAAUGGCCGGACUGGGGAAUUGCCUUGAGAGGCUGCUUUGUACUUCCUCUGCGAUAGCCGCCGUAUGCUCCUCCGUUCGUUGUUUCCAUUGACCGUGAUGACGCCUCGAGGGCCUGGCAUGCUUGAGGUAUGCUUAGUGCGGCACCGCAUUGAACUUGGCAAAUGCGGUUCGCCCGAGCAGUGUGUGAUAGCCACUGCGGAACUGGACUAUGUCGAAGAUUAACUCCUCGCUUCGGAAAUUAUCCGGAGAUCCGAAGACCACUUCGAGUGUAACUGAGCCUGUACAGUUGGCUUCUACACCUGGUAUGACGCCUUUAAAGGUCGUUCUGGUGGGUUUAAUCCUCGAGGGAUCGAUGCCUAUUUUCCGCACUGUAUCCUGAUAAAGCAGGUUCAGGCUGCUGCCGCUGUCCAUAAGGACUCUAGUGAGGUGAAAUCCGUCAAUAAUUGGGUCUAGAACCAAUGCAGCGAAUCCGCCAUGACGGAUGCUAGUGGGGUGGUCCCUUCGAUCAAAAGUGAUCGGGCAGGAAGACCAUGGGUUGAACUUUGGGGCAACUGGCUCCAUCGCGUAUACGUCCCUUAGCACACGCUUCCGCUCCCUCUUGGGGACGUGGGUUGCGUAUAUCAUGUUCACCGUCCGCACUUGUGGGGGAAAACCUUUCUGUCCACUGUUGUUCGGCGGCCGGGGCUCCUCCUCGUCAUCGCUAUGCAGCCCCUUAUCUCUGCUUUCGACAUUUAACUUGCCUGCCUGCUUGAACACCCAACAAACCCUUUUGGUGUGAUUGGCUGGUUUUUCGGGGGUGCCAUGUAUCUGGCAUGAGCGGUCGAGUAUUCGGUCCAAACUGGAUGGGCCCGGAGUAUUUCUUUUGAAUGCCUUUUUCCGCUGACCGGGUUUAGAGCCUCUGAAUCCGGCAUUAACUGUCGUAUCCUCAACAUUGUUGCUGUUAAUGCGACGCUUUUGCUUGUUGCGACGUGACCUACCACUGUUGUCCUUGGUAUCCGAAUUACCAGGGUUCUUCGUCAUGUUAUUGUUGCGAGCUAGCCAGCUGUCUUCUCCCGCGCAAAAGCGGGUCAUAAGUGUCGUGAGGGCUGCCAUGGAUUUCGGUUUUUCCUGUCCUAGGUGUCGUGCAAGCCACUCGUCACGGAUGUUAUGCUUGAAGGCUGCUAAGGCCGCUGCGUCCGGACAGUCGACAAUUUGAUUUUUCUUGGUUAGGAACCGUGUCCAGAAUUGUCUGGCCGAUUCCUCUGGCUGCUGAAUUAUGUGGCUUAGGUCAUCGGCGUCUGGUGGUUGCACAUAAGUGCCCUGGAAAUUGUCGAGGAAUGCGGCUUCCAGGUCCUCCCAACAACCAAUUGAUUCUUCUGGCACGCUAUUAAGCCAAUGCCGAGCUGGUCCUUUAAGCUUGAGUGGGAGGUAUUUGAUGGCGUGUAAGUCAUCACCGCGGGCCAUGUGGAUAUGAAGGAGAUAGUCCUUGAUCGAUACCGCAGGAUCUGUUGUGCCAUCAUAUGAUUCGAUGUUCACGAGUUUGAAACCCUCGGGGAUUUGAUGAUUCAUUACUUCAUCUGUGAAGCAUAGUGGGUGUGCGGCACCUCUAUACUGGGCUAUAUCAUGACACAGCUCAACCGAGCUUUGUCUACUGUGUUCGGCCUGGCCGGAUUUACUAUAUCCGGCGUGACGAGUACCGUCUCGUGCCAUGGGGUGCCCACGUGAUCCGUAGAUCGAUCUUGUUUGCCUUGCCUUGUCCUCCAAUAUGUCUCGCAGGUCUGGUGCAUUUUCCCAUGCCUUGGUAGUUUUUGAGCGGCACCGGGGUGCGACUUGAGUGGAGGGCCGAGAGGCCUCUCUGUCGCGGCCACGGGGUGGCCGGUCGGCCGCAUCAUGCGCUGGUGAUGUAGGUUUAAGUGCUUCCUCCUCUAAUUGGGGUAGCAACCUGCGCUUUGGGUUGCUCUUGGAGGGGCGUUCGAGUUCAUACUCUUCGGCCGCAAGGACUUCAGUCCGUCUGUCGGCUAGCAAAUCCUGAUCAGCUCUAAGUUGUUGCUGUUUUUUCUUGAGGCUGUUCACCGUGGCCAUAAGCCUGCAUUUGAAACACUCUUGUUUGACGGGAUCCUCCGACACGACAAAUUCGUCGCCGUUGAGGCUUGCCUCAUCUUCAGAGGGAGGCAUGUAAUUAUCGUCCUUGACCUCUCUGUCUGCCGCUCUCUCAUGAAGGCUGGCUUCUCUAUCCUCCUGUGCUGAAUCUUGCUGGAGGUGGUUGUCUUCGACACUGUCCGGGGUGUUAUUAUCCCCCGUGCCGGAAUCACCAUUUUUGGUUUGGCGGGAUUUAGAGCGGCGUCGCUGACGCCGGCGCUUAGGCUACUUCUUGGAGGGGUCAUCCUCCGCUAUUCCAUCGCCAUUGCCUUCUUUUGGGGUGUCCACCAUGUAUAUAUCAUACGACGAGGUGGCUUUCCAGUGCCCUAUAGGCGCUGGUUCUUGAUCGUCUCCUGCAUCGGCGUCCAUACCGUCGAUGUCUUCGGAGUCGAAGUCGAGCAUGUCGGUUAAAUCAUCGACAGUGGCUACGAAGUGGGUGGUGGGUGGGCUUUGAAUUUCUUCAUCAUCCGCAUCCCAACCUUGCCGACCAUAGUCCGGCUAGGGCUCUCCUGACAAAGAGACAGACUUUAGUGACUUCAGAAUAUCGCCGAAGGGCGAGUGCUGAAAGAUGUCCGCGAUGGUGAACUCCAUGAUCGGCGCCCAAUCGGGUUCGAUCGAUCGGGGUGCAGAGGGCUUGGAGUCUGGAGAGGAGUCCGGCUCCUUGGAGUCACGGGCUUCGCAGAGAACAGGGCUGGUGUUCGGCUCGAUCGCCGUAGAAAUUGCAGCCCCUGAGGCGGUGUCUAACCACCCAUCCUCGGUU